UGCUUUUGGACAGUAUUUUAUUACAAGAGA
rnacentral:piRNA from 1 species